CACCGGCAGCUCUAGUGGUAGCUGUUUUUAUUGGGCCUAAAGCGUUCGUAGCCGGUUUGAUAAGUCUCUGGUGAAAUCCUGUAGCUUAACUGUGGGAAUUGCUGGUGAUACUGUUGAACUUGAGGUCGGGAGAGGUUAGCGGUACUCCCAGGGUAGAGGUGAAAUUCUGUAAUCCUGGGAGGACCACCUGUGGCGAAGGCGGCUAACUGGAACGAACCUGACGGUGAGGGACGAAAGCUAGGGGCGCGAACCGG
rnacentral:rRNA from 1 species